CUGGUCUUUUCAAACAGCUCUUACACUAAAAGGGCAUUAUCAUCAUUGUCACAAUUUCACAGUAUUAUUCCAACCACAGCAUGGAAAUAGAUAUAAAACACAGGAAAAUCAAGUUUCUGACUGCACUCGGCCUUCAAAUGGUUUUGGUGCUUGAUUUGCUGUCAGUGUUCCAGACAGAAGUAGACAAGAAAUGACGUCCAUCCAUGUCUGAGGAUGUUGGGAGAUGACGUGGAACCCGGCCACUAGGGGCAACAGUGAGCUCUGUUACCUUCAAGACUCAGUAUAUCCAGCGGCUGAUAUGGGCAGAACAAAGGAUUCAAAAACAACAACAACAAAGGCCAUUGGUGGUCAAGCCUUUUUCUAUGAAGAAGUCAUGUCCCGGUCGUGGAUGGCGUCUGAGAGGACUUCUAUCUGCAGCACAGAGAGGAGUGUCGCAAUGCACUUGGGAUAUGUGAGGUGAAAGGCGUAAUAACAUGCCAUGAGAUAUGUCACGCUGG
rnacentral:lncRNA from 1 species